rnacentral:rRNA from 1 species
CCUACGGGAGGCAGCAGUGGGGAAUUUUGGACAAUGGGGGAAACCCUGAUCCAGCCAUUCCGCGUGAGUGAAGAAGGCCUUCGGGUUGUAAAGCUCUUUCGGCAGGAACGAAACGGCGGACUCUAACAUAGUCUGUCAAUGACGGUACCUGAAGAAGAAGCACCGGCUAACUACGUGCCAGCAGCCGCGGUAAUACGUAGGGUGCGAGCGUUAAUCGGAAUUACUGGGCGUAAAGCGUGCGCAGGCGGCUUUGUAAGACGGAUGUAAAAUCCCUGGGCUUAACCUAGGAACUGCGUUCGUGACUGCAAAGCUAGAGUGCGGCAGAGGGGGGUGGAAUUCCUGGUGUAGCAGUGAAAUGCGUAGAGAUCAGGAGGACCACCGAUGGCGAAGGCAGCCCCCUGGGUUGGCACUGACGCUCAUGCACGAAAGCGUGGGGAGCAAACAGGAUUAGAUCCCCUUGUAGU